UAGAGUGUAGAUUGUCAGUUUUAAAUUUAGUAUUUUUUUAUUAGUUUUGUUGGGUCAAUUUUCUCUGAAUUAAUUUCACAUCAGGGCCUUUACAAAAUGUCUAAAUGUCAACUUCUAUUUCACUUUUUCGAAGCUUAACACAAUGUACUUUGAUAUUCGUCAUUGUGUUCAAUUUGACUUAUUUUCCGUAAGAGAUGACCAAGUUGAUUAUUAACGCCUGAAAAUAGCUAAAACCGCAUUUUAUAUACCGAUUUUGGAAAUUAUUCAGAAUUUAUAAACAAAAAAUUG
rnacentral:lncRNA from 1 species